AUGGUUUGGCUUCUCAAUGAUCAUUGGGACAAACAACACCGGUCGUACGCUAUGUCGGUGGAGCAGCGGGAGCUUGCACCUCUGAAGCUUCGGUCUCACGGGAUCAGCCUUGGAUGGAUGCGCUAUGAUGAGCGGUACACACCGUAUUUGGACGAAGCCUGUUGUAGGCACACUGGAGGUAUUGGUGGUUGUCUGCUCGCACUUUCCAUAUGGAGCUGGGAGCGUUUGCCAAUUGGACGACCGAAGACCGUGAAGUACGAGGAUUGGGACGAUAAAGACGACCCACUACGGCUCCCCACUUGGGCUUACAAGUGGGAUGUGUUAAAUGAGACGACGGAUGAUCCCUCGGUAAUGUACAAGUUGUACAAGAGCAAGCUGGAUGCGAUCACGCCUGAGCAGGUGGAAUGGGAGCCGUUGGAUAGGAAAAAGCAGCGGAAGAUCAAGGAUUGGGCCAAGCAUCACAGGAAGUAUGUCGUGCAGUUCGCUCUUAGUGUGGAGCAAGCAAGGGCUGGAAAACGAGCCCAGCUUCGUCAGCACUGCCCGAUCGCGUUCAACAACUAUCUCACAUGGUUUCUUGCAAGUACCCGCGUGGAGGUAUGCCAGCCGGCGUAUGCUGAGGAGAUUCUGGAAGAACCCACCGUUUUUGAUGAGAUCAAAAAAGCAGCUGAUGAGACCGAGACUAUUCUGAAAACAACCCCGGCUGGCAAAAGCGAUGGGGAAGGUGCACUUCGAGCACUCAUUAAGCGCCAGGGCCAAAAGUUAAGGCGGCUAUCAAACCUUUUCGGUUGUCGUGACCCCGAGUAUGUAUCACCAGAACGGUCUAGGUCGGCGACACCAUCAGAUCCCGCUUCGGGGCAGGGCCAUGAUGAACCUUUCGAGGAUGAGGACGUGGGUGUGGUCACCCAAGAGGUUGCUGAUGAUAUGACCGUGGGGAGGUACCAGACUCGGUCUGCAUACGAGUUGAAGCCUAGGACGGGAAUCAACAAGUACACACCUGAAGACUUCACCCAAAGAGGCAAAAGGACGGUCGGCACCUCGCGGAUGGCGGCUUUGCAUGACUAUUUGGAUGACUAUGUAGAUGACGUGGACGAACCGGAGCCGGAGCCGGAGCCGGAGCGGGUUCCUCUUCCUAAGAAGAACACUCUUCUAGGUAGUGUCUAA
rnacentral:rRNA from 1 species